rnacentral:rRNA from 1 species
UCUACGGGUGGCAGCAGUGAGGAAUAUUGGUCAAUGGGCUUACGCCUGAACCAGCCAAGUCGCGUGAGGGAAGACUGCCCUAUGGGUUGUAAACUUCUUUUAUAAAGGAAUAAAGUGAGGCACGUGUGCCUUUUUGUAUGUACUUUAUGAAUAAGGAUCGGCUAACUCCGUGCCAGCAGCCGCGGUAAUACGGAGGAUCCGAGCGUUAUCCGGAUUUAUUGGGUUUAAAGGGAGCGUAGAUGGGUUGUUAAGUCAGUUGUGAAAGUUUGCGGCUCAACCGUAAAAUUGCAAUUGAUACUGGCAGUCUUGAGUACAGUUGAGGUAGGCGGAAUGCGUGGUGUAGCGGUGAAAUGCAUAGAUAUCACGCAGAACUCCGAUUGCGAAGGCAGCAUACCGGCGCUCAACUGACGCUCAUGCACGAAAGUGUGGGUAUCGAACAGGAUUAGAUAUCCCAGUAGUC